UUACUUAUUUCUCAGGGGCAACACCAUGAUCAAGCAGGUGGUUUGCCCUAAGCGAGGCUCAGCUAUUGCACUCGGGGCUGUGCUGACCUUUGUGAAUUCCCUAAAUGCAGUAAUUUCAACUGCAUAAUUUCUGAUAGUGGGGGGCCGCGUUCACGCUCUCCCCUU